GACGUAGGGCGCGAGCGUUGUCCGGAUUUAUUGGGCGUAAAGAGCUCGUAGGCGGCCAUACAGGUCAGCUGUGAAAACUCGAGGCUCAACCUCGAGACGUCGGUUGAAACCGUAUGGCUAGAGUCCGGAAGAGGAGAGUGGAAUUCCCGGUGUAGCGGUGAAAUGCGCAGAUAUCGGGAAGAACACCCGUGGCGAAGGCGGCUCUCUGGGACGGUACUGACGCUGAGACGCGAAAGCGUGGGGAGCGAACAGG
rnacentral:rRNA from 1 species